UACGAAGGGGGCUAGCGUUGUUCGGAAUUACUGGGCGUAAAGCGCGCGCAGGCGGCUAUCCAAGUCAGUGGUGAAAGCCCGGAGCUCAACUCCGGAACUGCCAUUGAAACUGUUUAGCUUGAGGACGAGAGAGGUGGAGUGGAAUUCCCAGUGUAGAGGUGAAAUUCGUAGAUAUUGGGAAGAACACCGGUGGCGAAGGCGGCUCACUGGCUCGUAUCUGACGCUCAGGCGCGACAGCGUGGGGAUCAAACAGG
rnacentral:rRNA from 1 species